AUCUCUUCUCAGCAUUUUGGCUAAGAUCAAGUGUGGAAUCUUUCUUUCCUCAUUAGACAUGAUGAAUAGGAAUUAUGCACUCUCUUUAGAAAAUAUAUUUCUUGUGGUCAAUGGAAAAAAUCUUA
rnacentral:sRNA from 1 species